UGCAGUCGAACGAUGAACCCGCUUCGGCGGGGGAUUAGUGGCGAACGGGUGAGUAACACGUGGGCAAUCUGCCCUUCACUCUGGGACAAGCCCUGGAAACGGGGUCUAAUACCGGAUAACACCGGCUCUCGCAUGGGAGCUGGUUAAAAGCUCCGGCGGUGAAGGAUGAGCCCGCGGCCUAUCAGCUUGUUGGUGGGGUAAUGGCCUACCAAGGCGACGACGGGUAGCCGGCCUGAGAGGGCGACCGGCCACACUGGGACUGAGACACGGCCCAGACUCCUACGGGAGGCAGCAGUGGGGAAUAUUGCACAAUGGGCGAAAGCCUGAUGCAGCGACGCCGCGUGAGGGAUGACGGCCUUCGGGUUGUAAACCUCUUUCAGCAGGGAAGAAGCGAAAGUGACGGUACCUGCAGAAGAAGCGCCGGCUAACUACGUGCCAGCAGCCGCGGUAAUACGUAGGGCGCAAGCGUUGUCCGGAAUUAUUGGGCGUAAAGAGCUCGUAGGCGGCUUGUCACGUCGGAUGUGAAAGCCCGGGGCUUAACCCCGGGUCUGCAUUCGAUACGGGCAGGCUAGAGUGUGGUAGGGGAGAUCGGAAUUCCUGGUGUAGCGGUGAAAUGCGCAGAUAUCAGGAGGAACACCGGUGGCGAAGGCGGAUCUCUGGGCCAUUACUGACGCUGAGGAGCGAAAGCGUGGGGAGCGAACAGGAUUAGAUACCCUGGUAGUCCACGCCGUAAACGUUGGGAACUAGGUGUUGGCGACAUUCCACGUCGUCGGUGCCGCAGCUAACGCAUUAAAGUUCCCCGCCUGGGGAGUACGGGCCGCAAGGCUAAAACUCCAAAGGAAUUUGACGGGGGGCCC
rnacentral:rRNA from 1 species